rnacentral:lncRNA from 1 species
AAUUACCCGAAUCCAGGAAAAAGUAUUAAGUAUAUGAUGCCUGUAGACAUGCAGAUUUAAACUUGAACUUCUUUGAACACAAGUGGUUUUUCCUCUUUUAUCCAGAAACCAAAACUAAAACCAUGUGCUCCUUCCAAGCUCCUACUUCUGCAUAACGACAAAAGAUAGAGUCUGCCUGGAACUCGAAUUCUGCAUCAUGAUAAUUAGUUUUUUCUUUAAUCUGAGAACUGCUCACUCUGUUAUUUCAGACAGAAGCAGCAGGAUGGCUUCAGCAUUCUGAGCUGUAUUCCUCAAGCUGUGUUGUGCUCUGGUAAAUACUCACAAAUCUUUAUUAUUGCCAUAUGUUUGGAAAGAAAGAUUGAAGAGUUAUUAGUUUCUCAUUCUCUAAAACAUUCUGUUUGUUUUUUAAACAUAAUCAGAGUUUUAUAAAGUUAACAUUGUUUUUAGGCAUUUAAAAAUAAAAAUACGCUAAUUUUGGCA